rnacentral:SRP_RNA from 1 species
UCGUGCUAGAUGGGGAGCUAGCGGUGCCCUGUAGCCCGAAAUCCGCUUAUGCGGGAUCGAAUUCCCUUCGAAGAGCCACAGUCCGACUUGGGCCUGUCGGUGGUUGGUGCUGAUUGGACACUGCGCAACAAACGGAUACGAACCCCGUCAGGUCCGGGAGGAAGCAGCGGUAAGUAUUGCAGUUUGUGUCGCGGAUAUCUCUAAUCAGGUCUCUGACGCUGACAGUUCCCUGGAAGGAUUGAACCCGACGAGGGGUGCACGG